AGGAGAAAUAGCAGAGAGUAACUUCACCAAGAGGACUGUAAAAUGUGCUGACACCUUUAAAGAAGAGGGGAAAGCUGUAGAGGCUGCUCACAAGGAUCCAUUAUGGUGGCCACCGGCAGCCAGCUACCUUCCCAGACUCUCCUUCAAUUCAUUUACCAGUUCCCUAUACAGGACCUCCUGUUUCAUCAGAGUUUGGCAGGUACCUAGGAGGGACGGUGAGAAGCACAAGCUGCUGGCCUAGCCACCCAGGCCGGGCCCAGGCCAUCCAGGGUGAUUACGAUCUUGAGUGCUGGCCCUUCCUUGAGAGAGUCUGAUCACACAAAGCCUCUGUUUGUUACAUUCCUAGACAAAACACCUGCCCUCAGCGGCUUAAGUUCCCUUUGUGGGAGUCCUUAUCUUUUUCUUAACUGUAAUAGUAGAGGUUGGAUCAUGCUGUUGCUAGAAAUUUACAUUCCAUACAAAUACCUCAGUGCUUUGUAUACCAAAUGCAUUAGUUAGAACAUGCACUUAAUAAAUUUAAAAAUUAUUUAGUAUCAA